ACCAAAAUAAAGAGAAUAACCUGGAAUGUCAGUAGACUCAUCCGUGUCAUCAUCCUGUUGACCACAGAGCAAAGUAAUCACAUAUGAAGAAAAACAAGCAAAUUAAUAUUUUCCAGCCAGUGCUAAUAUACAAAAAAA